CCUGGAAAGACGCGACACAAAUGUUAGGAAACAACACUUUGGUGUUGUCUGUCUGUCUGUCUGUCUGUCCAUCUGACUCCAUCAAUUUGCCUAUCAUGUCUUUGUUCAUCUGCCUGUUUGUCUAUCCAUCGAUCCAAAGUAGGGGUACUAAUUAUUUGACUUCCUGCUGAAUUUUGGGGGUUUGCUCAAUUGAAGAAAUGAUCAGUCUGAUUUUUUUUAAUGGUAACAGGACAUUAUCCAAAAUCACAGUAUGAAAGUUAGAAAAUGUUAAUUUUAUUGUUAGAUACAUACUGAUUCAUUUGCCAUGCAGACAAAUAUGGCUUUCCAAAGUUUGACUGGCGCCCGUGUGCAAUCCACCAAUUUGCCACCAUAAACUGAUACAACGUCAAAACAUGUCAGGGACAAGACUGGUAUGGUUUAAUUAAAAAAAACCCCAACAGCAUUUUAAAUAGCACGCUAUGAUAUUGUACUUCAUAAAACAUUCAACAUUGCUAAAUAAAUAGAAUGACAUUUAAAUGAGCUGUUUUUUGUCGCACUGAAUCAAUUAAAUAACCAUGGCCACCUGGGAGCAGUCUAAGACUGACGGACAAAUAUACUUGAGAUUCGACGUCUGAACUCCUCUCUGAUCAUCAGUAUGACUCUAAUAUAAGUCAUUCUUAGCAGAAGAUGAAGAAUACGCAUGUAUACUGCCUCAAGACUCUGCGCUUCACAUGCGCACACACGAGUAUGAUUGAUCCAGUCAAUAUGCUGUGCCUACACAUCGGUGGCCGAUACAGUAAAGAAGAAGGCGAGAAUGAAGAAGCGCAUUCGACCCUCAAGCAUGACAUUACAGCCAAGCACUCACAUAAGCAAACAACAGGCGGAAAAGAGAUUCAACUGGCAAGUCUUCCCGUGUAUCCGAGCGUACAGUGUCAAGAGCUUGGAAGAUGGUUUUAUCUUGAAUGAGAUAAGCGAUGGAUGGAUGGAUGGAUGCUUUGGACGUGCAGCAGACAUUAAAAGUCGAGCCUUAAACGCUACAAGAGAUCUAUUUUCUCAACACGCUGGAUGCCAUAGUUCUCUCCCACUGAGGGGCUGUUGAACAGGUCAUCAUGUGGCAUUAAAGGGAAAAAGGCCAAUAAGUUGGUUUUGAGAAAAAAAAAAGAGAAGAGCAGCUUCUUCCUGGAGGCCUGUGGAGACAUGAAGAGGUCCAAGCACUGGGAGCGCUGGCCAUGCGUGACGCAUGCUCCUCGGGCUCCUCUUAAACUUUCGGAAGCAAAGGGUAAAGAGUGAAGAGCAGCUGACAGAUGUUGCCGUGGACACCCCAAAGAGUGAAAUGUCAUUCAAAGUGUUGACUUUGCAGCUCCAAUGGAACAGGACUGGACAGACAUAUUGGGGUAAAUCUUAAGCACCAGAUCCUUGGAUUCUUCUUGGUAAAGCACCGCCAGAGGACUCAUCCUCUCCGGUACGCAGCAAGGCUCUGGAACCCCGGAAAUAAUCCCGACAGCUCGGACGAUGCUUUGGAUGGUGGCGUGAUUUGAGGGCCUCAUCACCUGGCGAUAGUUUGAGAAGAAUUGAAGUUUGGCCAUGUGUUGGAGGAGCACGUCCUGGUCCAGUUCACCUGAGGAGGGCGGCCGAGGGAAGCUUGCUCCUUGCGCCAUCCGAACCGACGCCACACCGAGGAAACACUUCAACACUAACAGGGGCAGGCGAACCACGAUUGAGUCCCGCCUACCAUUUGAGAACCACCGAUGUCGUCCUCACAGCUGCAAAUGUUCAGUCGUUUCUCUCGCAGGGCUUGUCAUCAUUUGGGUCACGGGUGUGCUGGAGCCUGCAGCUGACUUUUGGAAGAGAGAGGUCAUGGUGGAAGAAAAAAGAAUAUGCGCACUGUCUAGAUCCCUACCAGGGGGGCGCUCCACUGGCUUAUUAAUCAUGACGUCAGGUGAGGAAGAGGCAUCCGAGGUGGUAACUGGAGCUGGCACCUCAGCUAGGACAGCCUCAGCACCCGAGGCCAUGUUGGGUGGUGUAGGUGAUUCGGAAUACGUCAGUGGCAGGAUGUCCCUGCAGAUGGUGAGCUGCACUGUGCCCUCAGCUUUACGCAGAAUAUCCACCACCUUACUGUGGCUAAGUCCCGACACAAUCACACCGUUCACCUGGUUAAACACAGUCGGGAGCUUUGGUUUUACCAGAGGCGGAUGGGAAAAGAUUCUAAAUAUACUGUACAAAACAUCAUUGGUAAUGUUACCUCUAGAAGAAUAUCUCCCACUCUCAACCUGCCAUCCUGCUCAGCUACUCCACCAGAACAGAUUUCUUUCACCCUGAGCACGCUACCGUUGGUCCCACCAAACAACGCAAAGCCAAGGCCGCCUCCUUCUGGUUUGGUAAACUCAACUUGCAUAAUGCAACUCUGAAAAGGACAGCAAUGUUGUAGAAGGACAGAGGAAUUAUUAGUGAACGUCUGAAAAUGUAAUCCUAUGCACUUAAUCUUUUGCAAAAAUGUUGCAUGCUGGGGGGAAAACAGCAAUGCCCCUUUUCCUCUGCAAAGUCCCAACUGGGCUCGCUAUUUCCAGAGGAAAAACCAGGUCAGUACGAUCAGUUCCAGUUACCUGGCCCGCCAGUGUACAAAUGUCUCAAGUCACUAACUUUUGAGAAUAUAUGGCUAAAAUAAUUACCGCUGGACACCCGAAUUUUGUUUCAUAUUUUCCAAUCUGUCAGGUUCAUUCAAAAUGCUGUGUUUUUCUUAUUUUUAUUUAUUGGCAGUUUUGCGCAGUAAUACUGAAUUGGGGAGCGGCACCCUACCCUAAGAAAAACGGUACUAUGCAGUGGAAGAGUGGCAUUAGUGGUCUCAGGUUACUUUACAAACAAAAUGAUUUAGUGUAGUUGCAACAAGAGGACAAACGCUUACAUCCUGCUGUUCAGCUCCAGACAGACAUCUGAAGUUGCCAAGCGUUCGACCGACAACUUCAACUGCAGGGGAAAAAAAGAACAAUCGAUUAGGUUUGAAUCGGCAGCAAAUGUCGACGACAAGUACUGGUGCACAAAUAUUGAUCUGUUCCAUUUGAUCCAAGCUAAUUAACAUCUAAGGUUCAGCGCCUCACACAGCUUAAGAAAAAUCCUCAUUGAUGAAAUUGCAGUGACGGCGCUGCAAAGAACCAAAACACCGUCUGCCUAUCUCCCCCUCAAGCAAGUCGACAUUUGAAAGUGUUGAAGGCUACGCACCUCUUCUGUGACAGGUGAACAAGACAAGGCCUUUUUAAAAUGACGCUGUCCACUGCCCCCCAACCUGCUGCGGGAACUGUCACCGAGCAACUGAAUCACCUGCACUGGAGACCACCAUUGACCAGGAAUGUGUCUAUGAGUGUGUAUGUGAUGUGAAUGUGUGUGUGUGUGUGUUCUAAAUGCUGACAGACAGAACUUGGACCCUCUUUGCAAGAUUAAUAAUUAGCGAGCCUCAGGCCUCCACUGGUGUAUUGGACUGCAAGACUGUAGGUAUCACACACACAAUGUCUCUCGGGCAACCAAGCUCAUACAAAGCGACAAGAAUGCGCUGAUGGAAGGAUAUGGUGAGAAGAAAAGAAAUAAGGAACGUAUCUCACCAUCUUCCUGAGGUGAUUCUUUUUCAGGAGAGAUAGGCUCUUCAAAACGAGCAAAGAACUUCUUGUCCUUUUUCCAAUCAAACAGACCUGUAAAAGAAGUCCGCCAAAAAGGUAACGGACAGAUAAUGACCUCAUUCCCCUUCAAACUAUUUUUGGGUUUACUGAAGCAGAUGAAAUCAUCUCAUAAAUCUUUCACAGACUCCUCACCGUUCCAUUUGGCCUUGGGCGUCACGGGCUGUUCAUCUCUGGAAAAUAGGAAAAAAAACAAAAACAGCAGCGUGAGUCAGUCAUCUGUGUGUAUCUCGGCUAUUUCUUUCAUUUCGAUUGGG